ensembl:lncRNA
CACGCUCCUCCGGUCAUGGUGACGCGGACGGUUGACCUCACAAGACCGGGGUCGGCCAUGGCUACCAGCGUGAACGGCAGCGCUUCAGGUGGAUGGUGAUCAGAAGAAGCUGCAGACACAGAGAGCAGAAGAAUUAAAAUCAACGGGUAUCAAGUAAAUGCAAGAACAUGUGCUGAAGGCCAGAUGUCCUCCUCCAUGGCAACUUCCUGCAGCUCCUCCACUUGCCCGCUCCCUCUGUACCAAUCACGUUCGCUUGGAUGAAUCUGCGGUUUCCUCCUGCCAGCGCAGACAGAAGACUGACAUUUACAAAGCGCAGCCAAAUGUGAGGUUGAGGCGGUUAAUCGGCGGAUGAUUAAUGCGCUUGAUUGGACACCGAAGGCUGGAAGUUGGAGGUUUUUUAAGGUGUUACCUUGAAAUUGAUUGUUGUUGUAGUCGUUGCUCUGCAAUGAAGCGUAG